rnacentral:lncRNA from 1 species
AAGGUUUUGACAUUGGUGCAAGUGGUGAGCAGGAAAGUGUAAGGGAUGUGCAAGAAGGGGAGGCAGCUGCUGGGGAAGAAUCUGGAAUAGAAUACGAAGACUCCAGUGAGCUUAGAAGCUUACCCAGCGAUAUCGAGGCUGAGGGAUCAUCUGCCAGAAGGAAGAAUGUGUGGUGGUUUAACCCUGCAACUGAUAUGGAAGAUCCACAGUUCAAGCUAGGUAAUGUCCACUGUUCUGUGUAAUUCAGUUCUGGUUUAAUUCAUUUGGAUGAUAAUGAAUUCUGGUUUAAUUCAUUUCUGUCAGGGAUGAAAUUCGACAACGUCAAGAUUCUAAGGAAUGCAGUAGUUCAAUACUCAGUCAAAAAUUCCAGGCAACUGAGAUACGUGAAAAAUAUGAGGACACAGUUGAGAGUUCGGUGUCAAGAUAAUUGUCCUUGGGUUUUGUAUGCGUACCAACAACCCGACAAAAGUCUUAGAAUUAACACAUUUAUAGAUGAGCACACAUGUACCAUGGUGUUGCAAAAUAGAAGGGUUAAUUCAGGUUUUCUGGUAAAGAAGUACGUGAGAAAAUUUAGGUCUGAUUCAAACAUUCCAAUGAGUAGUUUUAUGGAGACUGUGAAAGAGGACUGCAUGUAUGAGAUUUCAAAGCAUCAGUUCUACAGGACAAGAUCGAAAUGUGCAGAAAUUAUUAAUGGGAUUGUAGCUGAGCAGCACAAAAUUUUAUGGGAUUACGGUGAGGAAUUGAAGAAAACAAAUCCAGGUAGUAUAGUCCAAAUCGAAGGUUCGGGACAUACUUUUAAGAGAUUGUACAUCUGCAUAGGGGCUUGUAAGGAAGGGUUUAAGGCUGGGUGCAGGCCAGUUGUUUGGUUGGAUGGAUGCUUCCUAAAAUCUGCAGAUGGUGGACAGUUGUUGGCAGCUGUUGGCAUUGAUGGUGAGAAUUGUAUGUUCUCAUUAGCAUGGGCAGUUGUGGAUGCAGAGAACAAAACAAACUGGCAAUGGUUCAUAGAAUUGUUGGUUGGUGACAUAGGGAUGCACAACCCUCGAGCUUGGACAUUCAUUUCCGACAAACAAAAGGGUUUGGUGGAUUCAAUAAGUCAAUACUGUGAAGGAGCGGAGCAUAGGUGUUGUGCUAGACAUCUUUAUAGCAAUUUCACCUUAGCACACAAAGGUCUGGCACUUAAGAACCUAUUUUGGACUGCAGCAAGGGCAACAACAGUGCCCGAGUGGAAGAGUGCAAUGAAUGAGUUAAAAGACAUAAGUGAAGAGGCUUACAACUGGUUCCUUGAAAAACCUCCUUCCCAGUGGACCAGAUCCCAUUUUGAAGAGCAUUCAAGAUGUGAUAUUCUUCUUAAUAAUUUGUGUGAGGCAUUCAACUCUUCCAUUGUUGUUGCCAGAGACAGGCCCAUCAUCUCCAUGCUAGAGAAAAUUCGGCAUCAGCAAAUGAUAAGGAUGAAUGCAAAAAGGGAAGCGGCAGAGAGGUAGGAUCAUGCAUUCGGGCCAAGAAUUGUGAUAAUCAUUGAGAAGGCUAAGUCUGAGGCAAGGUACUUGAAGGCAGACUAUGCAGGCAACCAGAAAUUUGAGAUAAGCAGUAGAGACGAUUUGAGGUGGAGCGUUGACUUGACAGAACAUGCAUGUGCUUGCAGAAAAUGGUAGCUCACUGGAAUACCAUGUCCCCAUGCAAUAUCAAGCAUGCUUUCAAGGGAUAUUGGCAUAUAUGAAUACAUCGACCUAUGGUAUAGCAAGGAGACAUACCUGAAAUGUUACUUCCCAGUGAUCCACCCGAUGUCAGGGCCUGAACUGUGGCCAGAAUUGGGAAAGCAUCCUCUCACUCAACCUCAGAAGAGAAAACAGGCUGGCAGACCCAAAAAAUUGAGGAAGAGGUCACAGGCAGAGCCACCUACAGGCGUGAAGAUGGGAAGGACUGGCAUGAAGAUGACGUGUAAGCGCUGUGGAGGGUCUGGACAUAACAAAAGAAGCUGUAAGGAGGCACUGCCUGGUGAAGAUAGUUCACAGUAACAGUCUCAACCAACCACACAAGAAGAUACACAUACCAGAUCAAUAAAGGGGAAGAGAAAAGCACAUUCAACACAAACCUCCAAGUCACAGACAAAGAAGUCCAAGUAUAGAGGAUCGCAAUCUUGAACAUCAUGCGGUUUCUCUUGUAUAGUUACCUUUUUG